rnacentral:rRNA from 1 species
GUGCAGCAGUCGAGAAACCUCCGCAAUACACGAAAGUGUGACGGGGCCAUCCCGAGUGCCGUCCGCUGAGGACGGCUUUUCCCCAGUGUACACAGCUGGGGGAAUAAGGAGAGGGCAAGCCUGGUGUCAGCCGCCGCGGUAAUACCAGCUCUCCGAGUGGUGGGGACGCUUAUUGGGCCUAAAGCAUCUGUAGCCGGCUGGGCAAGUCCUCCGUUAAAUCCAACGAUUCAAUCGUUGGGCUGCGGGGGAUACUGUCCAGCUUGGGGGCGGGAGAGGCCGACGGUAUUCCCGGGGUAGGGGUGAAAUCCUAUAAUCCCGGGAGGACCACCAGUGGCGAAGGCUGUCGGCUAGAACGCGCCCGACGGUGAGGGAUGAAAGCUGGGGGAGCGAACCGGAUUAGAUACCCCUGUAGU